rnacentral:rRNA from 1 species
GAUGAACGCUGGCGGCGUGCCUAAUACAUGCAAGUCGAGCGAACAGGCGAGGCGCUUGUUCCUUUGACGUUAGCGGCGGACGUGAGUAUCACACGUGUAAAAUCCACUUAUAUGAGUGGGAUAAUCACGGGAAACCGGAGCUAACACCGGAUAACCUGCUGAACCGCGUGGUGCAUCAGUGAAGGACGGCGUUGCUGUCUCUUCUAGCUGCAUCCGCGCCGCAUUAGCUAGUUGGUAAGGUAACGGCUUACUAAGGCAACGAUGCGUAGCCGACGUGAGAGGGUGGUCGGCCGCACUGGAGCGGGAACGCGGUCCAGGCGCCUACGGGAGGCAGCAGUAGGGAAUCUUCCGCAACGGGCGAGAGUCUGACGGAACAGCGCCACGUGAGUGGCGAAGAUCUUCGGAGCGUAAAACUCUGUUAUUGGUGAAGAACAGAUGUGUAAGUAACUGUGCACGUCUUGACGGUACCUAGUCAAAAAGCCACGGCUAACUACGUG